CAGCAGCCGCGGUAAUACGAAGGGGGCUAGCGUUGCUCGGAAUCACUGGGCGUAAAGGGUGCGUAGGCGGGUCUUUAAGUCAGGGGUGAAAUCCUGGAGCUCAACUCCAGAACUGCCUUUGAUACUGAAGAUCUUGAGUUCGGGAGGGGUGAGUGGAACUGCGAGUGUAGAGGUGAAAUUCGUAGAUAUUCGCAAGAACACCAGUGGCGAAGGCGGCUCACUGGCCCGAUACUGACGCUGAGGCACGAAAGCGUGGGGAGCAAACAGGAUUAGAUACCCCAGUAGUCCCUGUCUCUUAUAC
rnacentral:rRNA from 1 species